rnacentral:rRNA from 1 species
AAACUUUUAGCAACGGAUCUCUUGGCUCUAGCAUCGAUGAAGAACGCAGCGAAAUGCGAAAAGUAAUGCGAAUUGCAGAUUAGUGAGUCAUCGAAUCUUUGAACGCACAUUGCGCCUGCUAGCAACUAUAGCAGGCAUGCCUGUCCGAGCGUUAUC